AGCCUCCUCGUCACGUCCACGCAGCUCAAGCGCGCCGCCCCGGAGGUCACCACCACCGAGCAGCUCAUCCUGCAGGAGAAGGAGAUGAUCGAGAACCUCGCCGACGGCCGACCGCAAGUCGCUCAUGUCCGUGCGGGAGCUCGCCAAGGGGAUCACCUACACCGAGCCGCUCCGCACCGGCUGGAAGCUGCCGCUGCGCCUCCGCCGCAUGCCGCGCGCCAAGGCCGACGAGCUCAGCCGAUCUCUCUCCGACGAACUACGACGAUGAACGUCGGAUCCGUACUCCUCCUACCCGUGACUCGGCGCCACUCUGAGACGUGACCUUACCUGCUCCUCGGUCCCGUGACGGACCCUCUGGAUCCGAGAAGCUUGUUGAUCUGGGCUUCGUCCGAAGCGUCGAGCGGUGCCGCUGGUUUGAGAUUGGAGUUGUUUGGGAGUGACCUGGAGAAGCAGGGCGAGUCAGGCAUCCUGGCGGCUGGAGUUUGUUGAGAGUUGGUAUCCUGCAGCCUGGCAUAGUCAGUGGUGUCGACGACAACAGCGGUGGGACAGCACUACUGCAACCCCAGCGUAUCAAGUGGCCGCUGCCAUGUGUCGGUGGUGGGCUCGCCACAACCACGGUGGCUCUUGUUCGGCUACAAGCAACCCUACUGUAUGUGCUCUUGGUUCUCCCUGUGUUCUGUGCUAGACAUUCUUGAUCGUGAUGACAUGUUUGUAUGCCCCUAUGACACGUGAGAUAGUAGAUAGUUACAUUACAUCAUGUUGAUCUUUAUGACCAUAAUAGCUGAUUCAUGUACAUGCUUGUGCCUUAAUGUUGUCGCUGUGGUGAUGCACUUAGUAAUGCAAAUGACUUUUAAGAGCUGUAGUAAAUUAACUGCAUUUCGUGUACUUAGAUGGAGUUACAUUUGUAGCUUCGCUUAUUUAGGAAGACCAUGAUCAUGUAGUGUUAUUUUUGUAUUGACUGACGAGUUAGUCCUUUAUUGCUGCGUUCAGUUUGGAGGUGCACUGAGAAGUGCAACAGAGGAUAAAUUUACAGCAUUUUGUGUUCUCAGAUGGAAUUACAUUUCUAGUUUUGCUUAUUUAGGAAGAACCGUGAUGGCUGUAUGGUAAUUUAAUUACAUACAUCUAAUUAUAAAAAGCUGAUCAGUCAUGAUGCAUGUGUGUACUCUUCAAGAUCAUAGCAGCAGGAAUUUAAUUGAUUUAGUCAGAUGGUCGUUCAACGAACUUUGUAAGUUUAACUAGCUUGCACAAAGAUAAUGGAAUGCGGAGACAACUACUUCCACUCUUCAAAACUGCAUUCCAUAUGGUUCUGUCCGUACCAUAUUUCCUACUAUUGUUUUUUACUCUUUCUUUCUUUGUUAAAUAGUAGUAGCACUUCUUGCAAAAAGAGCUUUAGCUUGACCAGAGGCAUGCUGCCGGCGGGUUACGCCCCUGUUCCCAGCCCAGCCCUCUCUCUGUUGUAUCCUUCGCCGGCGAUAACCGCCGGUGAACAAAAUAAACCAACGCCGUCAACAUGCCAUAGUAGCGAGAUGGUAAGUACGUAUUGUGCAUAGGAAAGAAGCUGGGGUGACUGGAGUUUUGUAUCCCAUCCGUCCUUCCGUGAUCAAUAGCCCGUCCAGUAUACAUACAUACUGCCAGUGUAUAUAGAGAUUAUAGAUUCACGAAUUCAAUUGUAACAUCAUUAUGCAAUUCUAUGUUAUGGGAAAUAGUUAUUCCUAUCUAUGCCUGUUGGCUGGCACCAACGAGACAUUAGUGUCACCUAUCGUAUCCUGUAUGUACAUGUCGUACUCGUACCUUGUGCUACUUAGUGCAAUCAGCUACCCUGGAUUUCCUUUUCUUUCUUCAUGUUUAUUUUAAAAUCGAAUGCCCAUCUGAAAUAUAAUUCUUUGUCUUGACCCUUCAACCCCGGUUACACUGUUGGUAGACUGCAGAUCAGCUUACCUAACAACGUUAUUUGCCUCAGCUUUCAGCAAGGCGAGAAUGCUUUUGACUGGUACAACUCUACCCAAGCUGAAGACUGGGAUCAACUGAUGAUGAUGCAUAUAGUGUGCUGAUUGAAUUGGAAACAUAGCGAUGAUAUAGUUACAUUGAGCUCUAACUGGUAUUAUGAAAAUUCCAAAAUUGGUGUUUACAGUGGAACAAUGUGCUACCUGUUUACUUUGUGAGAUAUUGUUACAGUGAGCUGUAACUGAUAUUGUAUGAAAAAUCCAGAAUUUAUGUUUACGGUGCACUGGAUACUAUAUCGAUACUGUGUGCUUCUGCC